rnacentral:tRNA from 1 species
GGCCCCGUGGCGCAAUGGCCGCGCGUCUGACUCCAGAUCAGAAGGCUGGGUGUUCGAGUCACUCCGGGGUCA